rnacentral:lncRNA from 1 species
CUCCACAUCUUCCACAAUGACCCUUCGGACAAAUUCAAAAACUAUGAAUAAAUUUCAAGCCCUGCUUAUUAACAGAAUUACCUUGCACUCCAAAUUUGCUUGAAUCAUCAUGUUCAUUACCAGCUCUAGCCAAGUCAACAAACCUGCUCAAUUCACCACGAACUCUUUCAACUUCACUUGAGUUUGCAAACUUGCUCGAACCACCAUGGACAACAUGAUUAGCAAGAUUACAACUAGCUCUACUUGAGCUACCAGUUAGUUCUUUAGUAUCAUUGCUCGAAUCACCAUGAGCAACCCAAUCACAACCAACUCUACCCGUAUUAUUGCUUAUUGAACAAUAUGUUGUAGCUGCAUCCAAAGUAAUCGUCAAAUCUUCCAAGAUAUAUUACCGAUUCUUACAUUGCUUCUCUUUUAGCAUUCAAACAAAAAAUCUACCAUAACAAAAAAUCUUAUUGCGAUCCAAAAGUGAAAUCUCAAAUUUCGUAGUUUGUCAUCCUUGCAACAAUUGACUUGUUCAAACCUUGCUUUAAUAACCAAUACGAACCUUCUAAAAAACCUUGGCUCUGAUUCCAAUUGGUAAA